ensembl:lncRNA
GUGUUUGUGUGUCCUACGCCAGUCUAUGCACUGAUGAGUGACACAGUGUGUGUGUGUGUGUGUCCUACGCCAGUCUAGGCCCUGAUGAGAACGUUGAGGCCCUGCUGUCUUUCUUGCGGCGUGUUCCAGAUCUUAAAGGGGUGAGGCUGGACAUGGGCCCCCUGACUGAGAGAUCGGCCUCUGGGGUCAUCUCCCUCAUCCAGGCCUGCCCAACACUCACAGACCUCAGGUACAUCCCCCUCAUCCACUCACAGACCUCAGGUACAUCCCCCUCAUCCACUCACAGACCUCAGGUACAUCCCCCUCAUCCACUCACAGACCUCAGGUACAUCUCCAUCAUCCAGGCCUGCCCCACACUCACAGACCUCAGGUGGUUCUGUGGAGAACAAGGGUAUGGCAUCGUCUCUGAGGAAGGACUUAACAUCCUCCAGCAGUCUCAACAUCAUCUCAGAGGCAUCCUCUCUCUAACAGGGUAUGUGUGUGUGUGUGUGUGUGUGUGUGUGUUUGUCUCAACAUCAUCUCAGAGGCAUCCUCUCUCUAACAGGGUAUGUGUGUGUGUGUGUGUGUGUGUGUGUGUGCGUCUCAACAUUAUGUACAUAUGUAUGUGUGUGUGUGUGU